rnacentral:rRNA from 1 species
GACGAACGCUGGCGGCGUGCUUAACACAUGCAAGUCGAGCGGUAAGGCCCUUUCGGGGUACGACGAGCGGCGAACGGGUGAGUAACACGUGGGUGACCUGCCCUCCAGCUCUGGGAGUAAGCCUGGGAAACGUGGGUCUAAUACCGGAUAUGACUCCAUGACGCAUGUUGUGGGGUGGAAAGCCUUGUGCGGCUGAGGAUGGGCCCGGCGGCCUAUCAGCUUGUUGGUGGGGUGAUGGCCUACCAAGGCGACGACGGGUAGCCGG